AGUUGAUUUACAAUGUUCUGUCAAUUUCUGCUGUACAGCAAAGUGACCCAGUUAUACAUACAUACGUACAUUCUUUUUCUGAUAUUAUCCUCCAUCAGGCUCCAUCACAAGUGACUACACAGAGCUCCCUGUGCUAUACUGCAGGAUCUUAUUGCUUAUCCACUCCAAAUACAAUAAUUUGCAUCUCCUAACCCCAAACUCCCAGUCCAUCCCACUCCCUCCCCCACCCCCUCAGCAACCACAAGUCUGUUCUCCAAGUCUAUGGAUUUGUUUCUUUUCUGUAGAUAGGUUCAUUUGUGCCGUGUAUUAUAUUCCAGAUAUAAGUGAUAUUAUAUGGUAUUUGUCUUUCUCUUUCUUACUUCACUUCGUAUGAGAGUCUCUAGUUCCAUCCAUGUUGCUGUAAAUGGCAUUAUUUUGUUCUUUUUAUGGGUGAGUACUAUUCCAUGAGGAACGUGCACACUAUUUAGUUCGGCCUGCUAUAACAAAAUCCCACAGAGUGGGUAGCUCAUAAAUAGCAGACAUGCAUUUCUCCCUGUACUGAAGGCUGAGAAAUCCAGGACAAAGGCAACCGCAGAUUCAGUGUCGGGUCAGGACGUGGUUCCUAGACAGCGGGCUUCUUGCUAUGUCCUCACUCGGCAGAAGGGCCGAGGGAGCUCCCUGGGGUCUCUGCUUUGAGGGCAUUAAGCCUAAUCCUGAAGGCUCUGUCCCUGGGACCCAAUCACCUCUCCAGGACUCACCUCCCAACACCAACACACCUUGGGUUAGGCUUCGACAUGGGAAUUUUGAGAGUAACACACCAUUACGUCUGUAGCACACACCAACAACCUUGGAAGCUUGUGACAGGUGGUGAUUUUCAAUUGGCAAAAGCAGUCCGAGGAGGCAACUCAGCCUCUGCACUUCUACCAAGCUCUCAGGUGACGCCUAGGCUGCAGAUCUUGCUAAUUUGAACAGCGUAUUUCUCUACAGCCUCUUAGUUGCCUGUAUCCUUACAUUCCUAAUUGUUAGUUAACACUUUUUUUUCCAUUCUGGUUAUUCCUCUUGCUAACUGUGAGGCACCCUGGUCCCUUCCCACAAAAUUAUCAACCAUACCCUGGUGCAAACAUAAGGCUUUGAUUAUGCAAUACCUAGGCAGCGGUUCACGGAAAAAGUCAACUCCGAUAUUAGGGGCCAAAGCCCCAUUAAUAAAAAUCAUCAUUAGAACCAUCACUUAUAUUCAGGCUGUUUGGAAAACAAUAAACUGCCCAGACAUUUAAAUUAAUGUGUGUUCAAUACACGAAGAGAGAUGAUCCACGUCUCAUUCCCAUGCUAUGAUCACAUGGAUGCCCUAAUACACUGGUCACACAUCCCCACCACUGAAAUCGACAGGCGUGAUCAAGGCUUCCCGCCAGUUUCCUAAGCUGCAGCGCACUUGGCCGUCACCCCGCAGCCAACAGCUCGGUAUUACUUUAUGCCACGGCUCUUUCCUCUAACAACUGCACCAGGUGUAUCGUGAUAAGAUGAGCCUGUGCAUGAGCACACCACAGGCCUCCCUCACAAGCCUCAAAGGGCUCUUUUGCAUGAACAUUAAAAAAAGGAGCUCUUUUCCAUGGAUUUAAGGGGGCAAAGUGUCAAAUACUGUUUAACACCACAGUUAGCAGCUCAGACGUCCCUAGGCCCGCUAAGCACACAUAAAUAAAGCUAGAUGCACUGUGGGCCUGACAGCCUUGGGCAGCUCUCCAUUUUUCAGUUUAUUUCAAUCCCAGGCAAAAGCAGAGAGGAAGAAAAUGGGUGGUUGUGGACCAAAAGAAUCAUCCUAAAACAUCCUUCUAAGAAAUAAAGAAUCAAAGAAGGAGAAUGCCACUGAAAGAAGUGCCUUCAAAGUAUUUAGCACUUUCUCAAAAUACAUGGAAAGAGUGUGUAACACACUGCUCUCGCUCCGCUUUAACUGCAGCCUCUCAUCUCGGCCAUGGUUUCGGCACUGGAAGUCCAAUUACAACAAAAAUGCACUUUUUCCAGGGUGAUUUCUAAACCCUCGAGUUCUCUUUAUGCACAACUCCUCUCCAUUACAUUAGGACGCCCCGGUCACAUUCUUUCCUUUCUCGGACAUCCGUGACUCCUUCCGGUUCAAGACGGCUUCCUGUGGUUUGCUUCUUGUCAGAAUACCUCUGAUAUCCUCAGGAGAAGCUCUGUGACUCCUGCAAUUUGUUUUCUGCAGCAACCAACUCCACGUACCUCGGGUCUGCUUCCCGGAGGACCUGCUGACCUCGUCACACUUCUGCGGAGAGAUGGGAUCGAGGGACACGCAGCUUGAAGGUCACGGGUGCGCAUUUAACCCCCUCACUGAGAAGUGAAGACAACUUCAGCAGAUCUGAGAAAUAAUUUUGUCCAGGACCCCAGGUCCUGGCACUUCCUAGGCAGUUACCUGUCCCUUUUCUAACACACCAAAGAAUCUGCAGUCUCUCUGAGCCACUGCGACAAGUCUUCGACUUUAUUCGUACCACUCAUUUCUCCUGUAACAUAAGAUCUUCUUCAGUAUUUGGGAGACGGAUGACAUUUCCUGUCCUUCCUCCAACCGUUCCUAUGCACUUACAAUCUGUACUUAAAUCACCAUUUACUUAUCUGCAUGGGAAAUAGUUCUCAAUGCCUGUUAACUUUUGCUCACAGGGCCUAUUUCCCAAACCAUUAGUCAUGCUCCAGAUGUUUUCAGCAGAGAAUCCUGGAGAAGGAUUACUGAUGAUUAUUCUAUGCUGUAUUCCCACCUAAACAUCCCUAAUUCUGAGUGAGCAGUUUGAAGAUGAUAAAGGUAAAAUUAGGUUUAACCAGUGGAUAGGAGGUGUGUCUCCCAGGAAUGGCUUCAACUCCAUUCAAUCAGGGAGAACUACCAUUUCUAAGUACCCAUAAAUGUUUAAAAUUUUGCUGACAAGGUAAAAACAUUUUUACAGGGUGUUCCCGUUGUGGCACAGUGGAAAUGAAUCCAACUAGGAGCCAUGAGGCGUCGGGUUCAAUCCCUGGCCUUGCUCAGUGGGUUACGGAUCCAGCAUUACCGUGAGCCGUGGUGUAGGUCACAGACGUGGCUCGGAUCCUGUGGCUCUGGCGUAGGCUGGCAGCUGUAGCUCCAAUUAGACCCCUAGCCUGGGAAUCUCCACAUGCCACGGGUGCAGCCCUAAAAAUCCAAAAAAAAAAAAAUUUUUUUACAAAAGCAUCAACAAUCCCAUGGAAAGGUUCCACUGCCAUGAAGAGAAGAGACUAAAUGCAAAUGACCUAAUUUUAACUGGUUCCUGUGAGUCACAUUAUAAUUAUAACUGUUUUAAAGAGAGAUUAGCCCAAAAGGAAAUUCCCACACUUCUAAUCUAGAAUUUGAAAGCAUUUUUAAUCACUGUUCUGGAAAUUCUCAUACUGCAUGUAAAUAAAUCAUUCAUGAUUCUCUCUAAAUACAAUACACUCUGGAAGCUUCUUUCGAAAAAAAUGAGAGCACUGCAUUUGUUUAUCUAAAUAAGAGGGAAGGGGAAAAAACUGCACUGAAACAAGUUACAAAGUUUGAUAUAACUCAGCAAAAUGACAGAUUUGGUGGGAACACUUAAAAAACAACAAAUCAUGAACGGGGAGUUUAAGUCAGAACCUAGGAUAGAAGUGCCAGUCAGAAGCAGCCCACCUGGAAUCUCUCUCUGCUUCUACUCCUGCCACACUAAGAGAAGUUCUGCGGUCACACUCUGGAGAUGGUGCAAGGGACAGAGUCUAGGUCGUUCUUUCGAUGUGGACUGCUU
rnacentral:lncRNA from 1 species